CCCAAGAGUCCAUAUCGACGGCAGUGUUUGGCACCUCGAUGUCGGCUCAUCUCAUCCUGGGGCUGGAGCAGGUCCCAAGGGUACGGCUGUUCGCCGUUUAAAGAGGUACGUGAGCUGGGUUUAGAACGUCGUGAGACAGUUCGGUCCCUAUCUGCCGUGGGUGUAGGAUACUUGAGAGGAGAUGCCCCUAGUACGAGAGGACC
rnacentral:rRNA from 14 species